AAAACCCGAGUCUAAGUCCGGGGAUCAGGUUACCUAUUGGGAAGGUACCUUUAAAAGGUAGCACCCCUCUAAACCCUCUAAAGGUCUCUACUGACAAAGUUAAGGGAAGUGUGGCCAUUAAUCAGUUAAUUAUGGAUACCUAAGUAGGCUAGGUGAUUUCAAAUAUUGCAUGCCUAAUAAGAAAACCAACCAUAAGAGAGAGUCGAAGUGCAUACCUGAACGGCUUCUCAAGCGCUAUC
rnacentral:lncRNA from 1 species